GGGUCCGUAGCUCAGCCUGGACAGAGCGGCAGCCUCCUAAGUUGAAGGUCGCGGGUUCAAAUCCCGCCGGAUCCG
rnacentral:tRNA from 1 species